GACGAACGCUGGCGGCGUGCUUAACACAUGCAAGUCGAACGGAAAGGCCCUGCUUUUGUGGGGUGCUCGAGUGGCGAACGGGUGAGUAACACGUGAGUAACCUGCCCUUGACUUUGGGAUAACUUCAGGAAACUGGGGCUAAUACCGGAUAGGAGCUCCUGCUGCAUGGUGGGGGUUGGAAAGUUUCGGCGGUUGGGGAUGGACUCGCGGCUUAUCAGCUUGUUGGUGGGGUAGUGGCUUACCAAGGCUUUGACGGGUAGCCGGCCUGAGAGGGUGACCGGCCACAUUGGGACUGAGAUACGGCCCAGAAUCCUACGGGAGGCAGCAGUGGGGAAUAUUGCAAAAUGGGCGGAAGCCUGAUGCAGCAACGCCGCGUGCGGGAUGACGGCCUUCGGGUUGUAAACCGCUUUCGCCUGGGACGAAGCGUGAGUGACGGUAAUGGGUAAAGAAGCACCGGCUAACUACGUG
rnacentral:rRNA from 1 species